AACGAACGCUGGCGGCAGGCCUAACACAUGCAAGUCGAACGAAGCCUUCGGGCUUAGUGGCGGACGGGUGAGUAACGCGUGGGAAUAUGCCCUUCUCUACGGAAUAGCCCAGGGAAACUUGGAGUAAUACCGUAUACGCCCUUCGGGGGAAAGAUUUAUCGGAGAAGGAUUAGCCCGCGUUGGAUUAGGUAGUUGGUGGGGUAAUGGCCUACCAAGCCGACGAUCCAUAGCUGGUUUGAGAGGAUGAUCAGCCACACUGGGACUGAGACACGGCCCAGACUCCUACGGGAGGCAGCAGUGGGGAAUCUUAGACAAUGGGGGAAACCCUGAUCUAGCCAUGCCGCGUGAUCGAUGAAGGCCCUAGGGUUGUAAAGAUCUUUCAGUGGGGAAGAUAAUGACGGUACCCACAGAAGAAGCCCCGGCUAACUCCGUG
rnacentral:rRNA from 1 species